rnacentral:rRNA from 1 species
UACGAAGGGGGCUAGCGUUGUUCGGAAUCACUGGGCGUAAAGCGCACGUAGGCGGAUUUGUAAGUCAGGGGUGAAAUCCCGGGGCUCAACCUCGGAACUGCCUUUGAUACUGCAAGUCUCGAGUUCGGGAGAGGUGAGUGAAAUUCCUAGUGUAGAGGUGAAAUUCGUAGAUAUUAGGAAGAACACCAGUGGCGAAGGCGGCUCACUGGUCCGGUACUGACGCUGAGGUGCGAAAGCGUGGGGAGCAAACAGG